GAUUCCAAGUCUAUAGGGCAGCCAUUGAGGACAAUAACGUGACAAAUAUCAAUAAGAAAUGUUCACGUAGUCUGUUAUUUAGUCAUGUUAGGGUCACACACAUACAUCCAUGAUGUCCAUUUACAGAGCCCACAUCAUAACCAAAACACUGUUUAGCCCACAGCAAAUUGAAAUUCCCUUGAAGAAUCUCCCUUUCUGAGUAAUGACUGUAAAGGCAGCUGAAGUCUUCAGUCCUUUGGCACGCAACAACCAAACACCUGUCACACACCUUCAAACCAGCCCUUGUAGGAGGUGCAAUGUGGGAGAUCUGUGUGUGAGGAUGCAAGAGGGAAAUUAACUGAAAAGGGCCCUGGUGUUCCCCAUCCACCCACCCCACCUCAGCUCUCUGACUCAGGGGCUACAAGGC